GACGAACGCUGGCGGCGUGCUUAACACAUGCAAGUCGAACGGAGUGGCGAACGGGUGAGUAACACGUGGGUGACCUGCCCUGCACUUCGGGAUAAGCCUGGGAAACUGGGUCUAAUACCGGAUAGUGUGGGAUGGGCCCGGGGCCUCUCAGCUUGUUGGUGGGGUAAUGGCCUACUAAGGCGGCGACGGGUAGCCGGCCUGAGAGGGUGGGCGGCCAAAUUGGGACUGAGACACUGCCCAGAGUCCUACGGGAGGCAGCAGUGGGAAAUAUUGCACAAUUGGCGGAAGCCUGAUGCGGCGACGCCGCGUGGGGGAUGACGUCCUUCGGGUUGUGAACUCCUUUCACCAUCGACGCGGUAGUGGCAGAAGAAGCACCGGCUAACUACGUGCCAGCAGCCGCGGUAAUUC
rnacentral:rRNA from 1 species